UACGAAGGGGGCUAGCGUUGCUCGGAAUCACUGGGCGUAAAGCGCACGUAGGCGGACUCUUAAGUCGGUGGUGAAAUCCUGGAGCUCAACUCCAGAACUGCCUUCGAUACUGGGAGUCUCGAGUCCGAGAGAGGUGAGUGGAACUGCGAGUGUAGAGGUGAAAUUCGUAGAUAUUCGCAAGAACACCAGUGGCGAAGGCGGCUUCCUGGUC
rnacentral:rRNA from 1 species